AAUUCUAACAGCAUAAGAGAGGUAGUGACAAGAAAUAACAAUACAAGGCAGUUAAAAUGCUUUGUAAUUGGAAUGAUAGAAAUUUAAACACUUUUUAAAGUAUCAAUUGGAGGGCAAGUCUGGUGCCAGCAGCCGCGGUAAUUCCAGCUCCAAUAGCGUAUAUUAAAAUUGUUGCAGUUAAAAAGCUCGUAGUUGAAUUUCUGUUAAAAAUAACCGGUCUGCUUUUAAUAAAAGUGGUAUCUUGGUGUGUUUUUAGCAAUAAUGUCCUUUGAAAUGUUUUUUACUUUAUUGUAAUAAAUAAUAUUCAGGAUUUUUACUUUGAGAAAAUUAGAGUGUUUCUAGCAGGCUAACGCUUUGAAUACUGCAGCAUGGAAUAAUAAAAUAGGAUUUUAGUUCUACAUUAUUGGUUUUAAGAACUAAAUUAAUGAUUGAUAGGGACAGUUGGGGGCAUUUGUAUUUAACUGUCAGAGGUGAAAUUCUUAGAUUUGUUAAAGACAAACUACUGCGAAAGCAUUUGCCAAAGAUGUUUUCAUUAAUCAAGAACGAAAGUUAGGGGAUCGAAGACGAUCAGAUACCGUCGUAGUCUUAACUAUAAACUAUGCCGACU
rnacentral:rRNA from 1 species